GACGAACGCUGGCGGCGUGCUUAACACAUGCAAGUCGAACGGUGAAAGCGGAGCUUGCUCCGCUGGAUCAGUGGCGAACGGAUGAGUAACACGUGGGCAACCUGCCCCUCACUUCGGGAUAACUCCGGGAAACCGGGGCUAAUACCGGAUAUGACCUCCUUGGGCUUCCUUGGAGGUGGAAAGUUUUUCGGUGAGGGAUGGGCCCGCGGCCUAUCAGCUUGUUGGUGAGGUAGUGGCUCACCAAGGCGACGCCGGGUAGCCGGCCUGAGAGGGCGACCGGCCACACUGGGACUGAGACACGGCCCAGACUCCUACGGGAGGCAGCAGUGGGGAAUAUUGCGCAAUGGGCGAAAGCCUGACGCAGCAACGCCGCGUGCGGGAUGACGGCCUUCGGGUUGUAAACCGCUUUCAGCAGGGAAGAAGCCGCAAGGUGACGGUACCUGCAGAAGAAGCACCGGCUAACUACGUGCCAGCAGCCGCCGUAA
rnacentral:rRNA from 1 species